UACGGGGGGGGCAAGCGUUGUUCGGAAUUACUGGGCGUAAAGGGCUCGUAGGUGGCCAACUAAGUCAGACGUGAAAUCCCUCAGCUUAACUGGGGAACUGCGUCUGAUACUGGAUGGCUUGAGUUCGGGAGAGGGAUGCGGAAUUCCAGGUGUAGCGGUGAAAUGCGUAGAUAUCGGGAGGAACACCUGUGGCGAAAGCGGCUCACUGGACCACAACUGACGCUGAGGCGCGAAAGCUAGGGGAGCAAACAGG
rnacentral:rRNA from 1 species